rnacentral:hammerhead_ribozyme from 1 species
AUCCAGUUGACGAGUCCCAAAUAGGACGAAAUGCUGGUUGUUCUGGAU